rnacentral:rRNA from 1 species
GGAGCAAACAGGAUUAGAUACCCUGGUAGUCCACGCUGUAAACGAUGAGUACUAGGUGUCGGGGGUUACCCCCUUCGGUGCCGCAGCUAACGCAUUAAGUACUCCGCCUGGGAAGUACGCUCGCAAGCGUGAAACUCAAAGGAAUUGACGGGGACCCGCACAAGUAGCGGAGCAUGUGGUUUAAUUCGAAGCAACGCGAAGAACCUUACCUAAGCUUGACAUCCCAAUGACAUCUCCUUAAUCGGAGAGUUCCCU